rnacentral:rRNA from 1 species
AUUGAACGCUGGCGGCAUGCCUUACACAUGCAAGUCGAACGGUAACGCGGGGCAACCUGGAGACGAGUGGCGAACGGGUGAGUAAAGCAUCGGAACGUGCCCAGUAGAGGGGGAUAGCCCGGCGAAAGCCGGAUUAAUACCGCAUACGACCUAAGGGUGAAAGGGGGGGAUCGCAAGACCUCUCGCUAUUGGAGCGGCCGAUGUCAGAUUAGCUAGUUGGUGGGGUAAAAGCUCACCAAGGCGACGAUCUGUAGCUGGUCUGAGAGGACGGCCAGCCACACUGGGACUGAGACACGGCCCAGACUGCUACGGGAGGCAGCAGUGGAGAAUUUUGGACUAUGGACGAAAGUCUGAUCCAGCCAUGCCGCGUGCGGGAAGCAGGCCUUCGGGUAGUAAACCUCUUUUGGCAGGGAAGAAAUCCUUUGAGCUAAUACCUCGAGGGGAUGACGGUACCUGAAGAAUAAGCACCGGCUAACUACGCGCCAGCCGCCGCGGUAA